AGAAAUAAGACGACGAUAGUUAUGGAGAAGCUGAAGAGUCCGACAAAACCGAUGCAGUACUUCAGCAGAAUCAGAAUUUUGGACUAUCUCCAACUAUUAAGGAAUUUUGGGCGCCGUCCGAAGCUGCAGAUGGUCUUCGGAGGGUUCAUGUGGGUAUUUGUGUCAGCUCAAUAGUUCGAUCUCACAUCAGCCACCAAAAGGCUAUAUUCGAUUUUAUCUCCUAUACCUCUUGC
rnacentral:lncRNA from 1 species